GCGUUGUUGGGUAGGGGAGCGUUCUGUAAGCCUGCGAAGGUGACCUGUGAGGGUUGCUGGAGGUAUCAGAAGUGCGAAUGCUGACAUAAGUAACGAUAAAGCGGGUGAAAAGCCCGCUCGCCGGAAGACCAAGGGUUCCUGUCCAACGUUAAUCGGGGCAGGGUGAGUCGACCCCUAAGGCGAGGCCGAAAGGCGUAGUCGAUGGGAAACGGGUUAAUAUUCCCGUACUUGGUGUUACUGCGAAGGGGGGACGGAGAAGGCUAUGUUGGCCGGGCGACGGUUGUCCCGGUUUAAGCGUGUAGGUGUGUGUUCCAGGUAAAUCCGGUUCACUUUAACACUGAGGCGUGACGACGAGGCACUACGGUGCUGAAGCAACAAAUGCCCUGCUUCCAGGAAAAGCCUCUAAGCAUCAGGUAACAUCAAAUCGUACCCCAAACCGACACAGGUGGUCAGGUAGAGAAUACCAAGGCGCUUGAGAGAACUCGGGUGAAGGAACUAGGCAAAAUGGUGCCGUAACUUCGGGAGAAGGCACGCUGACACGUAGGUGAAGUGAUUUACUCAUGGAGCUGAAGUCAGUCGAAGAUACCAGCUGGCUGCAACUGUUUAUUAAAAACACAGCACUGUGCAAACACGAAAGUGGACGUAUACGGUGUGACGCCUGCCCGGUGCCGGAAGGUUAAUUGAUGGGGUCAGCGCAAGCGAAGCUCCUGAUCGAAGCCCCGGUAAACGGCGGCCGUAACUAUAACGGUCCUAAGGUAGCGAAAUUCCUUGUCGGGUAAGUUCCGACCUGCACGAAUGGCGUAAUGAUGGCCAGGCUGUCUCCACCCGAGACUCAGUGAAAUUGAACUCGCUGUGAAGAUGCAGUGUACCCGCGGCAAGACGGAAAGACCCCGUGAACCUUUACUAUAGCUUGACACUGAACAUUGAGCCUUGAUGUGUAGGAUAGGUGGGAGGCUUUGAAGUGUGGACGCCAGUCUGCAUGGAGCCGACCUUGAAAUACCACCCUUUAAUGUUUGAUGUUCUAACGUGGACCCGUUACCCGGGUUGCGGACAGUGUCUGGUGGGUAGUUUGACUGGGGCGGUCUCCUCCUAAAGAGUAACGGAGGAGCACGAAGGUUGGCUAAUCCUGGUCGGACAUCAGGAGGUUAGUGCAAUGGCAUAAGCCAGCUUGACUGCGAGCGUGACGGCGCGAGCAGGUGCGAAAGCAGGUCAUAGUGAUCCGGUGGUUCUGAAUGGAAGGGCCAUCGCUCAACGGAUAAAAGGUACUCCGGGGAUAACAGGCUGAUACCGCCCAAGAGUUCAUAUCGACGGCGGUGUUUGGCACCUCGAUGUCGGCUCAUCACAUCCUGGGGCUGAAGUAGGUCCCAAGGGUAUGGCUGUUCGCCAUUUAAAGUGGUACGCGAGCUGGGUUUAGAACGUCGUGAGACAGUUCGGUCCCUAUCUGCCGUGGGCGCUGGAGAACUGAGGGGGGCUGCUCCUAGUACGAGAGGACCGGAGUGGACGCAUCACUGGUGUUCGGGUUGUCAUGCCAAUGGCACUGCCCGGUAGCUAAAUGCGGAAGAGAUAAGUGCUGAAAGCAUCUAAGCACGAAACUUGCCCCGAGAUGAGUUCUCCCUGAGACUUA
rnacentral:rRNA from 1 species